UGAAUACGAGAUGCUACGGCAUCGAAGCAGUCUAUGUCAUACUUCCAAGAAAAGCUUGCACUGUCAUAAACAAAUAAUGCCUGUACCAUAACCGACACAGGUGGGUAGGUAGAGUAUACUAAGGGGCGCGAGAUAACUCUCUCUAAGGAACUCGGCAAAAUGACUCCGUAACUUCGGGAGAAGGAGUGCCUUAUUUUAUAAGGUUGCAAUAACAAGAUCCAAGCAACUGUUUACCAAAAACACAGGUCUCCGCUAAGUCGUAAGACGAUGUAUGGGGGCUGACGCCUGCCCAGUGCCAGAAGGUUAAAGAAGUUGGUUAGCAUUAGCGAAGCUGAUAACUGAAGCCCUGGUGAACGGCGGCCGUAACGAUAACGGUCCUAAGGUAGCGAAAUUCCUUGUCGGGUAAGUUCCGACCCGCACGAAAGGCGUAAUGAUUUGGAUACUGUCUCGGAGAGGGGCUCGGUGAAAUAGACUUGUCUGUGAAGAUGCGGACUACCUGCACCAGGACAGAAAGACCCUAUGAAGCUUUACUGUAACUUGAGAUUGAAAUUGGACUUUAUUUGCGCAGUAUAGGUGGGAGACGUUGAAAAUAUUCUUUCGGGAAUAUUGGAGUCAUCAGUGAGAUACCACUCUUAUAAUGUUAGAUUUCUAACUUUGUAUCAUUAUCUGGUCAAAGAACAGUCUCAGGCGGGCAGUUUGACUGGGGCGGUCGCCUCCCAAACGGUAACGGAGGCGCACAAAGGUUUCCUCUGAACGUGUAGAAAUCGUAUCUAGAGUGUAAAGGCAUAAGGAAGCUUGACUGUGAGACCUACAAGUCGAGCAGGGACGAAAGUCGGUCUUAGUGAUCUGACGGUGCUGAGUGGAAAGGCCGUCACUCAACGGAUAAAAGUUACUCUAAGGAUAACAGGCUGAUCUCCCCCAAGAGUUCACAUCGACGGGGAGGUUUGGCACCUCGAUGUCGGCUCAUCGCAUCCUGGGGCGGUAGUACGUCCCAAGGGUUGGGCUGUUCGCCCAUGAAAGCGGUACGCGAGCUGGGUUCAGAACGUCGUGAGACAGUUCGGUCCAUAUCCGGUGUAGGCGUUAGAAUAUUGAGAGGAGCCUUCUUUAGUACGAGAGGACCGAGAAGGACAUACCUCUGGUGUACCAGUUAUCGUGCCAACGGUAAACGCUGGGUAGCUAUGUAUGGAGAGGAUAACCGCUGAAAGCAUCUAAGUGGGAAGCCCACCUCAAGAUAAGUAUUCUC
rnacentral:rRNA from 1 species